rnacentral:misc_RNA from 1 species
UCAAACUUGGUCAUUUAGAGGAAGUAAAAGUCGUAACAAGGUUUCCGUAGGUGAACCUGCGGAAGGAUCAUUAUUGAUUCUAUAAUGGUGAGGCGGGAAAUGUUGUGCUGGCUCUGAUAAGGGGCAUGUGCACGCAUAUCCUAUAUAGCCUUGCCAAAAACCCCUCAUUCACACUUUGUGCACCUGCUGUAGGUCUGUUAUGGACCUAUGUCUUUUCAUAUCUUCCAUAGUAUGUUUAUAGAAUGUUAAUUGGGAUGAUAUAAAUUAUACAACUUUCAGCAACGGAUCUCUUGGCUCUCGCAUCGAUGAAGAACGCAGC